rnacentral:pre_miRNA from 2 species
AGUACAAUUGCUGGGUCAUAUGGUAGUUGCAUGUUUAGCUGUAUAAGAAACUGCCAAACUGUUUUCCACAGUGCCUAUACCAUUUUACAUUCCCAUCAGCAAU